AGUGAACGCUGGCGGUAGGCCUAACACAUGCAAGUCGAACGGCAGCACAGUAAGAGCUUGCUCUUACGGGUGGCGAGUGGCGGACGGGUGAGGAAUACAUCGGAAUCUACUUUUUCGUGGGGGAUAACGUAGGGAAACUUACGCUAAUACCGCAUACGACCUACGGGUGAAAGCAGGGGAUCUUCGGACCUUGCGCGAUUGAAUGAGCCGAUGUCGGAUUAGCUAGUUGGCGGGGUAAAGGCCCACCAAGGCGACGAUCCGUAGCUGGUCUGAGAGGAUGAGCAGCCACACUGGAACUGAGACACGGUCCAGACUCCUACAGGAGGCAGCAGUGGGGAAUAUUGGACAAUGGGCGCAAGCCUGAUCCAGCCAUACCGCGUGGGUGAAGAAGGCCUUCGGGUUGUAAAGCCCUUUUGUUGGGAAAGAAAAGCAGCAGGUUAAGACCCCGCUGUUCUGACGGUACCCAAAGAAUAAGCACCGGCUAACUUCGUG
rnacentral:rRNA from 1 species